AGUGAACGCUGGCGGUAGGCCUAACACAUGCAAGUCGAACGGCAGCACAGUAAGAGCUUGCUCUUACGGGUGGCGAGUGGCGGACGGGUGAGGAAUACAUCGGAAUCUACUUUUUCGUGGGGGAUAACGUAGGGAAACUUACGCUAAUACCGCAUACGACCUACGGGUGAAAGCAGGGGAUCUUCGGACCUUGCGCGAUUGAAUGAGCCGAUGUCGGAUUAGCUAGUUUGCGGGGUAAAGGCCCACCAAGGCGACGAUCCGUAGCUGGUCUGAGAGGAUGAUCAGCCACACUGGAAGUGAGACACGGUCCAGACUCCUACGGGAGGCAGCAGUGGGGAAUAUUGGACAAUGGGCGCAAGCCUGAUCCAGCCAGACCGCGUGGGUGAAGAAGGCCUUCGGGUUGUAAAGCCCUUUUGUUGGGAAAGAAAAGCAGCAGGUUAAUACCCCGCUGUUCUGACGGUACCCAAAGAAUAAGCACCGGCUAACUUCGUG
rnacentral:rRNA from 1 species